UUGAUUUUAAAGCAAUCACCAUAACCCAUUCUAUUUUUGAAUAGUGUUAUUGUGUUUAGGUGAAGCUAAACACAUUGGGGAAAGUGAGGUCUAGUUCUCUGUAGGUAUAGCAACAUGAAAUCACCAGCAGUAAAGUAAUGGGGUCUUUGCUCUCAUGUGACCAUCAAGACAAAAUUCAUAGCUUUUGUUGUGGCAAUUCAGAUGUUUAAUACUUGAGUCUGAGUGCAAAUUUGCAUCAUGAGUUAGACUAUCAACUACUUUGGUUACUAUGAUUGAAAAGUUGAACUUAGUUAUAAGGAGCUUGUUAAGGAAAAUGAUGAAGAAAAAGAAAGGCUAAAUGGAAUUAUUGCCGGAUUGUUGACUGAAAAAGAAAAAAGAUAAGGUGGAUAAAGAUGCUAUGCUCGAUACAAUGUCACAAAUUGAAGCUAUGUUAACAAGUACAAUUUGAAGAUAGGCUACAAACACUUGGUUUUGAAUGUUUCAAUGUUUAUCAUAUUAGGAUUUUUUAGUUAUUUGAUGUUUUAGCUGGUACUUAUAUUAGAAUGUUUUAUACGCUUUUGAUACACAUAUGUUUUAUAUAAUUUUGGGUUUUCGUGA